UGGCCACAUCACAUUGAAACAACGGUUCCCUUAUGAUUUCCAAAGUUAAGCAAAGUUGAGCCUGGUCAGUACCUAGAUGGGUGACUGCUUGGAAAUACCAGGUGCUAUA